AACAAACGCUGGCGGCGUGCCUAACACGUGCAAGUCGUACGAGAAAGGGUCCUUCGGGGCCUGAGUAAAGUGGCGCACGGGUGAGUAACGCGUGGAUAAUCUGCCCUUCAGUUGGGAAUAACUCAUCGAAAGGUGGGCUAAUACCGAAUAAUGCUGUGAGACCUCGGUUGAUCAGCCAAAGAGAGCCUCUGCUUGCAAGCCCUCGCUGAAGGAUGAGUCCGCGUACCAUUAGCUAGUUGGUAGGGUAAUGGCCUACCAAGGCGACGAUGGUUAGCUGGUCUGAGAGGAUGAUCAGCCACACUGGAACUGAGACACGGUCCAGACUCCUACGGGAGGCAGCAGUGAGGAAUCUUGCGCAAUGGGGGCAACCCUGACGCAGCAACGCCGCGUGAGUGAGGAAGGUCUUCGGAUCGUAAAGCUCUGUCGGAUGGAAAGAACCGCAUAGGGGUAAACAGCCCCUGUGUCUGACGGUACCGUCAAAGGAAGCACCGGCUAACUCCGUGCCAGCCGCCGCCGUAAAAC
rnacentral:rRNA from 1 species